rnacentral:rRNA from 1 species
GACAGAGGCCUCGAGCGUUAGGCGGAAUCACUGGGCUUAAAGCGUGUGUAGGCGGGCCCGUAAGUGUCUUGUGAAAUCCCACGGCUCAACCGUGGAACUGCUGGGCAUACUGCGGGUCUUGGGCCAACUAGGGGCAGCCGGAACAAGCGGUGGAGCGGUGAAAUGCGUAGAUAUCAGGAGGAACACCAGCGGCGAAGGCGGCGCUCUGGGCCGGAACUGACGCUGAGGAGCGAAAGCGUGGGUAGCAAACAGG